UCUAGUUCCUAACCCAGUGAUGCAUCCAAGAACUGGACAAAGCAACCAGCAGAAAUUAGAAACAGAGUUGGUACAGAAAACCACUCAAGCAGCGUCUCGGGCUCUUAGGCCAAAAUCCCCCACCGUCAUCCUGCUGUUUUUAUACUCUUUUAAAAUAAAUAUGUCCACUUUCCAGUCACGUGCACUGCAGGAACUCUCACCAAGAGAGGGCAGACCCCUGUCUGCUUGCUCAGCAGAUAGCUAUCAAACCACUAUCAUGCUCAAUGUGGAAUGCGAAAACAAAAAACAGAAAACAAACCCCAACCAACCAACCAAACAAAAAACCCAUUAAUUAUGGUCCUUACCAUCUGAAAGUUUUCAACUGGUUUGGGGAGAAAGGCCAAAAAUACUUGAUCAGAUUUAGGAUACAAGGACUGUGUCGGAGAGCAGGACAUGAUGUCAUCAAACAAGAGAGACCAGAUUUCCCAAUACUGCCCUUAUUCUUUGCAUCUGACAAUCAUCUGAUAUGAAAGAAAAUGUAGUAGAAACUUCUCCAAGCUGCAUAAAGAUGCCCCAGAAUCUCCAGUUUACCGGGAACUUGCCUUGGGUCUCCUGAACCGAAAAGCACAGAUCUUGCCUUCCUCCUGGAAGUCACCUUGUCCUUUGGAGCCGUCGGCCUGCAGGAGGUGGCUUCCUCUGGCUGGUGAGAAGCUGGCUCUUUUGUGCAGAGAGAUCUUGCCCUUCCAAAACCAGGGGCCGGGCCCAAUCCUUCCCGUGUAAUCACAGGGCAUUGCUGGAGAGGCAGGAAUCCGAGCGGAGCACUGUACUUAUUCAAACUGACGGAAAAACAAUGCCAUCAGCAUGAAUCAAUAGUAAUGGUGCAUUUGGCCAGCAGACUGUUAUUUCUGGGGACAGGAUGUGCACUCAGUUUUGAGGUUUAUUCAUGUCAGAUUUAGCUGUAUAGCAAUAUUUUCCAAACUUUGUUACUAGGAGAUAAUUUUUGGCAUGUGUAUGCAAUGCAUGUAUAUGUGUAUGUGUACACAUGUGUAUAAAAAAUACUACAGACUGGAUGGCUUAAACAACAGAAAUGUAUUUUCUCACUGUUCUGGAGGCUGGAGUCCGAGAUCAGUUUGCCAGCAUGGCUGGGUUCUGGGGAGAGCUCUCCUCCUGGCUUGCAUACAGGUGGCCACCUUCUUA